UUUUAUUAGUAUAAAUAGAGUAUAUUUGUUUUCCAAACAAAUGGUUUAAUAAUAUUAAAUAAAG
rnacentral:tRNA from 1 species